GGGGCUGCACUGGUUUCGACGGGGGCAGUGAGGCUGGAUAAGCGGGCGGAGGUGUCUGACCUCCUUAAACCGGGCAAUCUUUUCAAAUUAACUGACAACAAUCAAGUUGCUCUGGCUGCCUAAUUAGGCGCCCAUCCUCCCCGGAAGGACCACGAGCCGGGCUUGGGUGUGAUUUGAGUGGUGACCGUGCGUACAGUAAGCUUUGCCUGUACCAUGCAUCAUGAAGCUACCAAGGCGCGGAGUGUGUUUGUUCACGCCGCACCGAGGGAAUGGAAAUAACAAACUGCGCCCGGAGAAAAUCCAGUCAAGUUGCUUUCGGACAGGGGUUCGAUCCCCCUCAGCUCCACCA
rnacentral:tmRNA from 1 species